rnacentral:rRNA from 1 species
AUACGGAGGAUCCGAGCGUUAUCCGGAUUUAUUGGGUUUAAAGGGUGCGCAGGCGGCCAUUUAAGUCAGCGGUUAAAUCGUGGGGCUCAACCCCAUUCUGCCGUUGAUACUGGGUGGCUUGAUUGCGGUCGAGGUUGGCGGAAUUCGUUGUGUAGCGGUGAAAUGCAUAGAUAUGACGAAGAACACCGAUUGCGUAGGCAGCUGACCAGAUCGCAAAUGACGCUCAUGCACGAAAGUGCGGGGAUCGAACAGGAUUAGAUACCCUGGUAGUCCACGCAGUAAACGAUGAUUACUAGCUGUUUGCGAUAUACAGUAAGUGGCACAGCGAAAGCGUUAAGUAAUCCACCUGGGGAGUACGCCGGCAACGGUGAAACUCAAAGGAAUUGACGGGG